rnacentral:rRNA from 1 species
GACGAACGCUGGCGGCGUGCUUAACACAUGCAAGUCGAACGGAAAGGCCCUGCUUUUGUUGGGUGCUCGAGUGGCGAACGGGUGAGUAACACGUGAGUAACCUGCCCUUGACUUUGGGAUAACUUCAGGAAACUGGGGCUAAUACCGGAUAUGAUCUCCUGCUGCAUGGUGGGGGUUGGAAAGUUUCGGCGGUUGGGGAUGGACUCGCGGCUUAUCCGCUUGUUGGUGGGGUAGUGGCUUACCAAGGCUUUGACGGGUAGCCGGCCUGAGAGGGUGACCGGCCACAUUGGGACUGAGAUACGGCCCAGAAUCCUACGGGAGGCAGCAGUGGGGAAUAUUGCACAAUGGGCGGAAGCCUGAUGCAGCAACGCCGCGUGCGGGAUGACGGCCUUCGGGUUGUAAACCGCUUUCGCCUGUGACGAAGAGUGAGUGACGGUAAUGGGUAAAGAAGCACCGGCUAACUACGUG